rnacentral:misc_RNA from 1 species
UUUAAAGAUCAAAUUGGUUUUGAAAUUGCACAAAUCCUGGAAGCCCCAGAAUCAGUAACCAAAUAACACAUUAUACAGACAACCUAUAACCAUUCUCUAAUACAACUAAAGAAAAUCCACAAAAGGGAUGAUUUAAAAAAAAUAAAAAUAAUAAAAAGAAAUAAUCAAGUACACACACCUAUACCCUCUAUACAUCCCCCACAAAAUCUUAUGUACUAAAUUACAAUCCAAUUUAUGCCAUCUAUUUCACCUGAGAAAAAGGCACAAGAGAGAAGUCAAAACUAUUGAGGUCUUUUGCCAAAGUCCUCUCUGCCCUACAGAAAAGAAUUACACAUCUAACACCAACUAAUAAUUUCCUCUUCAAUGCAAGCUUCUCUCAUUUUGCAACAGUUCAAAUGUCAUUCGGAUCCUGGAUAGAAGUUGGGACUAGUUUCAACUCAUCAUUCUUUCCUAAUUGUAGAUUUUCACUGGCUUCUCAAAUGUGUGUCGAUUCUGAUUAGCAGCAAAUGACCUUUUAGGAGCAUUGUCAGAGUGCUCCAGUCCAAGAUACUGCUCCCAAGCACCAUAGACGUCCCUCCUCUGAAAUCGACUGGAUACAAUAUCGGAGUCUUGAAGGUAUUCAGGACGACCCAGUGACAAAAAUGCAAACUUCCACUGAAUAAAAAAAGUGCCCCAUAAAUAGAAAUGGUACAAGUACAAAAAGUAUAUAUUUAACAACCAAGCCAAUUUCUUAUUGGAGGAAUAGACCAAGCUCCUUAAAAUGUAAAACAGUGAAAUACCAUAUUCAAACCUUAAGAAACACAUUGAAAAAAGAGCACAUGCACGCGCACAAAUAUAUAUAAUCAGGUUCAGGUAUUAAAUAAAUACCUUCGCAAACUCCUCAUCAGGAACCUGUAAUUUUUUCUGUAUCCGCACUUUAACUUCAGCUAAUGUCUCACCUUCAUGAAUUACCAGAAAAAAGGGCUCGCCAAAAUUCUGAACCUGCUGUUAAAUUUUACAAGAAAGUAAUCUUCAGUAGUUACAAAGUAAAAGGAUUAGUAGCUCACAUCGAUGGCCAACAACUGGCUAAACAUCAAGUAAAACUGAGCCACAAGCACAAGGAAAUAAUAAAAAUGCCAACCAAAACUCAACAAAGCCUUAAUCCAGAAAUGAUUGGAGAUGGCUACAUAGAUCCAUUUCUUCCAUAUAAAAUCAAAAGGGAAAUUAAAUUAAAUCAUAGCACCUGAUUUUGAGCUGGGUCUUUCAUAAAAUGAUAAACAUGAAUCAAACGAUCAUUAGGAACAAGGUUUUUCUCCUCCUCUGGAAUCUCCUCUGCACGUAAUGUCCAAUACUGAUCAUUAAUAUUCUCAAUUUUUUCAUUGUGUGGAAAGAUCUGGAAAAAUAAACUGCAACUUAGAUACAAGACACCAGAAGCACAAAACAAGAGGUUGCAAGUUGGAUUUUUUUCUUUGGUGCUCACCAUUUUUUGCAAAAGAAAAUAUUGGACGCUUACAGAAA